GUGAUGUCGUGACAAUAAAACAGAGAAUGCAAGUGUUAUCCAAAAUGAUUGGGUGUAAAGCAUUUGUAGGUGUUCUUUUCAAUUCUGUCAUCAAAACCUAAGGCUCAACCAUCGACAUGCCAUGGAAGCUACCAAAGUUUGAGUAUAGUAUGGUUAGAGGAAAUUUCCAAUGGAAUGGUGAAAUGCCAAGAUUGGAAAGAACACCAAAGCAUUUUGUUGUGUUGACAAUAAUACUGAGAAACAAAAGCUAAGUGAGCAAAUGGGAUUACAAAUCCCAAUGGUCCUAGCCAUAAACAAUGGAUAAGGUAUGUUGCAUGUAUGACCCAUGCAAUGUUGUAUCUAACACAUUAUCGCACCUAAGGGAGUAUGUUCACAAGAAUGAAACUCAAAGGAAUUGACUACGGCCAGCACAAAAGGUGAACCAUGUGGUUCAAUUUGAUGCAAUGCAAAGAAUUUUACCGAGUCUUGACAUGUCAUGAAUCCCCUUAAAAGAGACAAGUGCCUUCAACAUUGCAAACACGAGUGGUACAUGGUGGUUGUCAUUGCAUAAGGUAUUAAUUUCCACAACAUGUGCAACCCUUGUCGUACCAUCAUCGAGUUUGAAACCCUGAGCACAUUGUUAACAAUAUACCACAAGAAGGUGAAGGUGGCAUCAAGUCGUCAUACCCCUUUUCCUUGGAGAACACAUGCUAUGAUGGCCAAGACACAAGGACAAGCUAACCUCAAAAACAUAGCCUCAAUUGAAUUGUUGGUUGCAACUCACCUAGAUGAAGUUGGAAUCAUUGGUAAUUAUCAACCAAUUAUAUCACAAUAAAAUUGUUCCUAGGCCUUAUACACACCACCCUUCACACUUUGGUCAUUGUUGGACAUGCCCUAACUUGUCACCUUAACUACAAAGAAGGGGAUGUUGAAUGAGCAAGGCUAAUAAUUGGAAUAAAGUUGUAACAAGGUAGUCACAAUGGAAGGUGUUACUGGAUCACUUCCUCC
rnacentral:ncRNA from 1 species